AUGAACGCUGGCGGCGUGCCUAACACAUGCAAGUCGAACGAAGCACUUCUCCCGUCAAAGUAGAUUAGCUUGCUAUGAAGCGGAGACAUUUGAAGUGACUUAGUGGCGGACGGGUGAGUAACGCGUGGGUAACCUGCCCUGUACUGGGGGACAACAGUUGGAAACGGCUGCUAAUACCGCAUAAGCGCACAGCAUCGCAUGGUGCAGUGUGAAAAAACUCCGGUGGUACAGGAUGGACCCGCGUCUGAUUAGCUAGUUGGUGGGGUAACGGCCUACCAAGGCGACGAUCAGUAGCCGGCCUGAGAGGGUGAACGGCCACAUUGGGACUGAGACACGGCCCAGACUCCUACGGGAGGCAGCAGUGGGGAAUAUUGCACAAUGGGGGAAACCCUGAUGCAGCCGACGCCGCGUGAGUGAUGAAGUAUUUCGGUAUGUAAAGCUCUAUCAGCAGGGAAGAAAAUGACGGUACCUGACUAAGAAGCACCGGCUAAAUACGUGCCAGCCGCCGC
rnacentral:rRNA from 1 species